GAGUGGGACAAGGAAGAGGAGGAAGGAAAACAAUCCCAGAUGAGAUCCGGGCCACUGUGGUUGAUUAUGUGGUCAACCAUGGUUUGAGUUUCAGGGAGGCUGGGCAGAGGGUCCAGCCUAACUUGAGCUGCUACACUGCAUCUAGUAUCAUCCGGACAUUUUGAAAUGAGAACAAAAUUGCUAGAUGACCCUUCAAUGGAGGAAGAAACCGGAGUACCAUUUGAGCCAAAUUCUGACAGAGAAACAACUGCGCUAUGAAUACGUACAAAGAGUUCUGGAACUAGAUGCUGCUGCAGAACAUCAGGAUUUAGUCUACGUUGAUGAGGUCGGCUUUAACAUAGCCAAAACAAGACGCAGGGGAAGAAACCUCAUACUGCAGGGGACAGAAACACAGCGCCAUCGUCAAUGUCCCUGGACAGCAUCACAAUGUGUGCAGCCAUUAAUCAGAACAGUGUCCUUCAUCAUCAUGGCACUCUUGGUCCUUACAAUACUGCCCACCUUAUCACCUUCCUUGACACCCUGCCUAAGAUCCUCAUUCCCAAUGACCAGAGGAAUGGGCCAGAGCAGUCCAGGUUUGUUGUCAUCUAGGACAACAUAAGUUUCCACCGGGCUGCUCUGCUCCGCAAGC